ensembl:lncRNA
AUCCUACCUUCCAUUCCAACUGUCACUCUGUGAGCUGAGAGAUUCAAAUUUGGUGACAGAUGAGAAGCUGUCACCCUCACACCUCGAGUGUUUGAGAAUGGGAAAUCUGAAUUGUUAUUUUGGAGGAUCUUGCUUCAGGAAUGAAAGAAGAAACAUUCAUCUAAUGUCAAGAAAAUCACCCACUAGCUGGGCCAGAAUAAUCCACUUCUGGCCACAUAAGAGGGUGCACCCUAUCAAUGACUCAGAAGAAGCUCCCACUGAGUCCCUGUUGGAAGACCUGGACCUGCCCAGUGACAGGGCAGACGAGAAGGCCCCGCCUACCCCCAAGGUUAAUGGGACAAAUGAUGAAAAUGCUACAUGUGUUGGAACCACUCCUCUGCUAACGGGAAAUCUAGCUGAUGCUGACGAAGAAGCUCCCCCUGUGGACCUGUUGGAGGACCUGACUGACGACAGGACAGAGGAAGAGAUCCCACUUACUGCCAAGGAGGAUGCAAGAGCUGGUGAAAACCCUCCCCCGGAGGAUUUGUUGAAGGACAGAGCAGAGGAGGAAGCUUCACCCAUCUCUAAGCUGGUCUCAGUAGAAAGUGAAAACGAAUGCAUUUUGGAAAGCAUAUAUGACAGUGGAAAUGAAUGCAACACAGACAAGAUGCUGGACAGCUCAUGGAGCAACCAGGAUGAAGAUGCUACAGAAUACUACUUCGAGUCUAAUGAAGAAUCGGAUCAGGAGAGCAACAGUCUGCAUAUGUCAAGAUAUCCUCUGCUUCUCCUCUUAAGAGAAGCUGUUGGGUCUGCAGUCAGUGAAGAAGAGGACAGGGAGGAGGAGACAUAAAUAUGGAGGGUGGGGAUGAAAGGUUCUGCUCUGACACCUGUGAAGGCCUUGACCUUGGGGCCUCAUCCUGGGCCUCAGAGGGGAACGAAGCAGUACAGAGUCAGGAGGUUUCCAACUGGACAAGGAACAGGGUUGGCCUCACUGCUCAUCUCCUAAGGAACCUAAUUUAGUACAGCUUAGUGGUUUUUUUUUUUGUAUAGCUUUAGUAUUAUGUUCAGACAUAUGUUUUAUAUAUGCUGUGGAAGCUUUCUCUAUUAAAUGACAUUCAUCUAUCUAGUUGCUUUUCACAUAUUUUCCUAUAAAAAUCACCCUAAUCCGAGGUAGGACUAAAUGAAUUGCUGUCUUGCAUUCACCCUCGUGUCCACCACCAAGGUCACCCCCUCUCUUAUGUCACCGUCAUUCAGUCUUCAUUAUAUCAGGUGACUAUGAAUUUAGUCCAUACCAUCCGUCCUGAUGUGUCUUUCUAAGGAUUCUGUUUUCUGAAGUCUGUUCAUUCCUUUGAUCAUGGGAACAGUAUUUCCCUAGAUCUUUCAUGAUGACUUGAAUGACAGGGCCUUUGAUAGCCAGUUACUUGCCUGCUAGAAAAUUCAUGACUCAUCAUUUCUCUCCUUGAGCAGUUCAAAUACAUUGCUCUACUUUUUUUCUGGCAGAGUAUCUCUCUCCAAAAAGUUUCAUCGAAUUCUGAUUUUUGUUCCGUUAUAUGUCACGUGCUCUCUUGUUCUAGAUGCCCAAAAGAUUUUUGUUUUUCUUUAAAGCCCUG